rnacentral:lncRNA from 1 species
AGAACUGUGCCAAGCCAGCAGACCAGGUUCAAGGCCUUUGUCACUAUUGGGGACUAUAUUGGUCAUGUUGAUCGUGGUAUUAAGAGCCCAAAGGAAGUUGCCACUGCCAUCUGAGGGGCCAUCAGCUUGGCCAAGCUAUCCAUCAUCCUUGUGGGGAGAGGCUACUCGGGGAACAAGAUUGGCAAGCCCACACUGUUCCAUGCAAGAUGACAGACCACUGUGGCUCUAUGUUGAUGUGCCUCAUCCCUGCCCCUAGAGGCACUGGCAUUGUCUCCGCUCCCGUGCCCAAGAAGCUGCUGCUGAGGAUGGCUGGUAUAGAUGACUGCUACACUUCAGCCAGAGGCUUCUCUGCUGCCACCUUUCAUGCCAUCUCCAAGACCUACAGCUACCUGCCCCCUGACCUCUAGAAAAAGGCUGUGUUCACCAAGUCUCUUUAUCAGGAACUCACUGAUCAUCUUGUGAAAACCCACACCAGAGUCUCCCAGAGGACGCAGGCUCCAGCUGUGCCUAUCACA